rnacentral:rRNA from 1 species
CGGGGGGCAGCAGUGGGGAAUAUUGGACAAUGGGCGCAAGCCUGAUCCAGCAAUGCCGCGUGAGUGAUGAAGGCCUUAGGGUCGUAAAGCUCUUUUACCCGGGAUGAUAAUGACAGUACCGGGAGAAUAAGCCCCGGCUAACUCCGUGCCAGCAGCCGCGGUAAUACGGAGGGGGCUAGCGUUGUUCGGAAUUACUGGGCGUAAAGCGCACGUAGGCGGUUACUCAAGUCAGAGGUGAAAGCCCGGGGCUCAACCCCGGAACGGCCUUUGAAACUAGGUGACUAGAAUCUUGGAGAGGCGAGUGGAAUUCCGAGUGUAGAGGUGAAAUUCGUAGAUAUUCGGAAGAACACCAGUGGCGAAGGCGACUCGCUGGACAAGUAUUGACGCUGAGGUGCGAAAGCGUGGGGAGCAAACAGGAUUAGAUACCCGCGU